rnacentral:rRNA from 1 species
UACAGAGGGUGCGAGCGUUGUUCGGAAUUAUUGGGCGUAAAGGGCGCGUAGGCGGCGCCACAAGUCACCUGUGAAAACUCUGGGCUCAACCCAGAGCCUGCAGGCGAAACUGUGGUGCUGGAGUAUGGGAGAGGUGCGUGGAAUUCCCGGUGUAGCGGUGAAAUUCGUAGAUAUUGGGAAGAACACCGGUGGCGAAGGCGGCUCACUGGCUCGUAACUGACGCUCAGGCGCGACAGCGUGGGGAUCAAACAGG